rnacentral:rRNA from 1 species
CCCUUAGAUGUUCUGGGCCGCACGCGCGCUACACUGAUGCAUACAACGAGUCUAAAACCUGCUCUGAUAGGGGUGGGUAAUCUUUUGAAUGUGCAUCGUGAUUGGGAUAGAUGAUUGCAAUUUUUCAUCUUCAACGAGGAAUGCCUAGUAAACGCAAGUCAUCAGCUUGCAUUGAUUACGUCCCUGCCCUUUGUACACACCGCCCGUCGCUCCUACCGAUUGAAUGAUCCGAUGAAUAUCAUGGAUUGAGGAUGUAAGCAGGUUCGCCUGUCUUCAUCUUCGAGAAGUGAAGUAAAUCUUAUCAUUUAGAGGAAGGAGAAGUCGUAACA